UACGUAGGGGGCAAGCGUUAUCCGGAAUUACUGGGUGUAAAGGGAGCGUAGACGGUUAAGUAAGUCUGGAGUGAAAGGCCGGGGCCCAACCCCGGGACUGCUCUUGGAACUGCGUGGCUGGAGUGCAGGAGGGGCAGGCGGAAUUCCUGGUGUAGCGGUGAAAUGCGUAGAUAUCAGGAGGAACACCGGUGGCGAAGGCGGCCUGCUGGACUGCAACUGACGUUGAGGCCCGAAAGCGUGGGGAGCAAACAGG
rnacentral:rRNA from 1 species